ACGCUCGACACCUACGAGAGGCAGCAGUGGGGAAUAUUGCACAAUGGGGGAAACCCUGAUGCAGCGACGCCGCGUGAGCGAAGAAGUAUUUCGGUAUGUAAAGUUCUAUCAGCAGGGAAGAAACUGACGGUACCUGACUAAGAAGCACCGGCUAAAUACGUGCCAGCAGCCGCGGUAAUCUGAGCGGGCUGGCAAGGC
rnacentral:rRNA from 1 species